UACGAAGGGGGCUAGCGUUGCUCGGAAUCACUGGGCGUAAAGGGCGCGUAGGCGGCCAUUCAAGUCGGGGGGUGAAAGCCUGUGGCUCAACCACAGAAUUGCCUUCGAUACUGUUUGGCUUGAGUUUGGUAGAGGUUGGUGGAACUGCGAGUGUAGAGGUGAAAUUCGUAGAUAUUCGCAAGAACACCAGUGGCGAAGGCGGCCAACUGGACCAACACUG
rnacentral:rRNA from 1 species